UACAGAGGGGGCAAGCGUUAUUCGGAAUUAUUGGGCGUAAAGGGCGCGUAGGCGGCUUGGCAAGUGGAUGGUGAAAUCCCUCGGCUUAACCGAGGAACUGCCGUCCAAACUGCUUUGCUUGAGUCCGGGAGAGGUGAGUGGAAUUCCCAGUGUAGCGGUGAAAUGCGUAGAUAUUGGGAGGAACACCAGUGGCGAAGGCGGCUCACUGGACCGGUACUGACGCUGAGGCGCGAAAGCGUGGGGAGCAAACGGG
rnacentral:rRNA from 1 species